ensembl:lncRNA
CGAGGGAAUUGGCCGGCCGCGAAGGAAGCGAUUCUGUGUGAAAAAGGGUCUCUCUUUCCUUACUUGUAAAGCCUGAGACUAAAGGGAGUCUCAGGGGACCGAUCAAAGAGGGGGCUGAGAGAGGAAGGAACGUCCAGUCGAGCUCUGGAACUGGUAAACUCUCUCAGCCAAAAAGAUCUAGAAAGCCGGAGCACUGAGAAAACCCCGGUACAGCUAACCGAGAGGUAAGUAUUAGCGCGACCUUGGACUUUCAGAAACGAGAAGGAAGACGAACACAACGCAGAGCAGGUAAGAAUCCUAAGAAACAUGGUGCAGAGAAAAAGUAGAAUGCAAAAACUGAAUAACGAAAAAGGCCCCUCGGAGGAACCAAAACAAUUGUUAGACAUCCCACCGGAGAGUCCUUUAGGGUGGAUGUUGAGAAAUUGGGAAAGUUGUCCCGAAAGACGAGAGAAAUCCGAAGCAAAAAUGAUUUAUUACUGUGCCGAGAUUUGGGGAGGACAGGAAUUAAGAAACUGUCUCACUUGGCCAGUAUUGGGGACAUUUGAUAGAUGGACGUGCAGAGAAUUACUCGCACAUGUAGAGAAAAAGGUCUCGUCAGACGCUGAGGAGAAAGAAUAUGCCAAACUCUGGUUAAAUACCAGAGUACGGCUGUUUCCAGUGAAACAGAAAAACGAACGUAAAACAGAAACCUGGGAACCCCUGGAUCACUUACCCCCUCCGUACCGCGGGCCAGUAGAGCCUCCGGUGAUGGAUCAAGUAGUACCGUCAGCACCCGAGGGUUCCUUAGGGCAACUGGCAGGAGCACGCUCUCUUCAAAUACCGGGAGUAGUGCCGGAAACCCUCACAACCCCCCAACCUGCAGAAAACCCAGCCACCGCACCCUCUCCAGAGUCGGUGUCGGCGCAAGGAUGGGGCUUACCCCCUCCACAAAUCCUGGUCCGGCCAUCACAGCUGGGACCACCAAAGGUAUCAGAAGAAAACCCUCUGAGUCACCUAGCUGCGGCAGACUUUCCGCAAGCAAUGAGGGGAAAAACUCCCGCAAACUCCAGUUCCCCUCCUGCAAGCAGGACUCGGUGGAAAUCAAAAAUAGGGAAUGGAGAAUGGGGGGAGGCAGAAAAUGGGCAUCGAAUGUUCCCUCUCAGGGAAGUGCCGACCGCCCCCGGAAUAAUUGGAUUUGUAAACGUACCCCUUAACUCAGGGGAUGUACGAGCAUUCAAGAAAGAAAUGGGGCGACUGCUAGAUGACCCAUUUGGGGUGGCCGAAAGGUUAGACGAUUUUCUAGGGAGUAGUAUUUACACCUAUGAAGAUCUCAUGGCCAUCCUGAGAUCCCUGUUUAGCCAGGAGGAAAGAGAGAUGAUUAAGCAGGCAGGCAUCAGAGAUUGGGAAAGGCGUCACCCGCAGGGAACACCAGGCGACCAAAAGUGGCCGAGUGUGAGCCCGAGUUGGAGCGCCCAGACCGAGGAAGGAAGAAGAAGCAUGAUAGACUUAAGGAAUAUUAUUGUGCAAGGAAUAAGAGAGGCGGUCCCCAGAGGACAAAACAUAAGCAAAGUAUUUGGGGAAUGCCAAAGAAAGGAAGAAUCCCCCACCGAAUGGUUAGAAAGGCUGCGGAGAAGUCUGCAGAUUUACUCUGGGACUGAUCCCAGCUCUCCGGUGGGGGAAGUCCUGCUUAAAACUCAAUUCGUGGCUAAAUCGUGGGAAGAU